rnacentral:rRNA from 1 species
UACGGAGGGCGCAAGCGUUGUUCGGAAUCAUUGGGCGUAAAGCGGGUGUAGGCGGUCGAGUAAGUCGGGUGUGAAAUCCCGGGGCUUAACCCCGGAACUGCAUUCGAUACUGCUUGUCUAGAGUCUCGGAGAGGGUGGCGGAAUUCCCGGUGUAGGGGUGAAAUCCGUAGAUAUCGGGAGGAACACCAGCGGCGAAGGCGGCCACCUGGACGAUGACUGACGCUCAGACCCGAAAGCGUGGGGAGCAAACAGG